AUUGAACGCUGGCGGCAGGCCUAACACAUGCAAGUCGAACGGUAGCACAGAGAGCUUGCUCUCGGGUGACGAGUGGCGGACGGGUGAGUAACGUCUGGGAAACUGCCCGAUGGAGGGGGAUAACUACUGGAAACGGUAGCUAAUACCGCAUAACGUCGCAAGACCAAAGUGGGGGACCUUCGGGCCUCACACCACCGGAUUGGCCCAGAUGGGAUUAGCUAGUAGGUGGGGUAAUGGCUCACCUAGGCGACGAUCCCUAGCUGGUCUGAGAGGAUGACCAGCCACACUGGAACUGAGACACGGUCCAGACUCCUACGGGAGGCAGCAGUGGGGAAUAUUGCACAAUGGGCGCAAGCCUGAUGCAGCCAUGCCGCGUGUAUGAAGAAGGCCUUCGGGUUGUAAAGUACUUUCAGCGGGGAGGAAGGCGGUGAAGUUAAUAACUUCACCGAUUGACGUUACCCGCAGAAGAAGCACCGGCUAACUCCGUGCCAGCCGCCGCCGUAA
rnacentral:rRNA from 1 species